CCAAAAUCCAGCGGAGAGCCGAACCCGGAGAGAGCAAGAGAUAGAGCAGCUCUCGCCUCGGCUCUUCUUACAGAUCCCUAAAAGAUCCCCCGGACCUGAGACGGCAAGCUGCCUCGGCAGCGGCCGGCCCACAUCCAUGAGGCUCUGAAACCGAACUCGCUUCGGCUUCCGAGAAGAGCGGGAGUCGCGAGCCAAGCUGAAUAAUAGGCAUUACCAUGCAAACCGAUUGUAUGGAGAUACUAGAGAUCGCGAUCCUUUCUGGACCUGCCUGAUCCGUUUCGGAUGUCCUACCUCUGGAUGGAACUGUCAUCUAUUCCAAUUCAAGAUUGCUGGGACUAUGGCUGCUUCUAAGGCCAAACAGACUUCAUAUAAAACCAUAAUGAACUUUUUCACACUAUCUGUUGUUACACAGAUGAAGAUGGGUUCCCUUCUGAGUCUGGUUCCUCUCAAGGUUUCUUCCUUUUAAUAUCUUAGGGAGUUUUUCCUUGCCAACAUCGCCACCGGCUUGCUCAAUUGGAAUAAAUUCACACUUUUAAUAUCUGUAUACCAUGUUUAUAUAUAUUUCUGCAAAGCUGCUUUGAGACAAUGUCUUGUAAAAAGCACUAUACAAAUAAAAUAAAAUUGAAUUUAUGUGGGGAUGUCACAGUGGCGCAGGGAAGAACAUUACCACCUUACAUCUCCAGGGUCCCCAGUUUGAUCCUGAGCUCAGGUUACUGUCUGUGUGGAGUUUUCCAUGUUCUCUGUGUCAGUGUGGGUUUCCUCUGGGUUCUUUGGUUUCUUCUCACAUCCCAAAAACACUGGCUAUGCUAAAAUUGGCCUAGGCGUGUACAUAAAUGCUUUGUGAUGGACUGGUGUUUGCCACAAAUCCCCUCAGUGCACAGUGCUUUUCACUGCACUAUGUGCACAGCCCAUGCUCUUAUCGUGAUAUGUUUUGGUUUUUUUUACUUCUCUGUCCUUUCUCGUCAUUUGUGUGUCUCCUGAUUGUGUCCAUUUGUUUUCAGUUUAAUUUCUGAUUAGUGUUAUUUCUUUGUAAAGUUGUAUGUGCAUUCAUUGUAUGUGUGUAUUAUACAGUGUAUUGUUUUAUAACUUUUUUAUGAUUUAUUCCUGCAUUUCAUUUCUGUUUAUGGAUUAUCCUUUUGCUAAAGACGACCCAUACUACAGACUUUGAGAAUAAUUUGUAGAAACUCCCAAAUAAAGAACAUGCUGAGUACAUGCA